UGCAGCCAAACACAAGCCACCCAGCACCACCGCCGCCUGACGCAGGAAGCCGCCGCCUCUCCCUAGGGCAGGACGCCGCCCCCAUCCGGCGCAGGGCGUCGCCGCCACCCGGCGCUCAAGUCGCCUCCGCCGCCCAACGCUCUAGCCGCCUCCUCUGCCACCGACGCCCUCCACCCCAUCUAUUCCGUGACUCCGUCGCCCACGCUCCUGAUUGCCCGCCGCAAGCCGCCACUACGUGCUCCCAGAUACCACCAGCCGGCGCAGACUGUCGUCCCCACAGCUUCGUGCCUCCAUCCGCCGCCAACCGCCCCACGUCCACCGCCGUCGCGUCGACGCUCCCCGUCGGCGCAAGCUCCUGCCCCCACACCAACGCCAUCUGCCGGCUGCACACUACGCUCCCGCCCAUUGCCGGUCACGCCCACACCGUCAGAUGAUGCCUGCUCCUGCCCCACGUUGUUUCUACCCCGUUGCUGGGCCCUCCCACGCCGACGACCACUGCCUUCUCCCGGAACAAAGCAGGCGGCCGCUGCGCCCAUGGCGUUUCUGUCCUACCGCCGACGGAUGCCACCAGCUGCUGCCCCCACGCAUAUCUGAAUCUAAAUUUUUUGUGUAUGUGUGUUGCAUCGUAUUUCAGGCGACACCUCCCUUAUUGAUUGCGCAUUCGACGAAUGUAACGUCCACUUCAAGGUAAGAACACAUCGAGCAAGCUAUUCAAGGCAGAUAAAAAAGAUUGUAGAUUCUUAAACAAUUAGCUUUUUGUUUUUAUCUUAGACUGAAACUGAAAACCGUGUCUAAAAAUAUGCGGUACUCCAAGGAGAACCGAGACUACCAUAAUCCAAAGUUCAAUACCAAGAUUGGGGCUUACUCUGAGGGCUGUGGCCUUGAAAAUGUGCUCAUGUUCUAGGGCCAUGACGAUUACAUCUACCUGAUAUGUCCGGUUCAUCAUCGUCGUACCGUCCCUUUGUUACAUGGAGCAAAUCUUCAUUUUCUGUACUGAGUUUGCAGUUUGUUUCUGAAUUAUUAAGGUGUUUCUUGUCCAACUAUUUACUGAUAUCUUAUUGUGUUAUGUACCUGACAUGAUGGUCAUCUUUUAGUUCAUUGUCUGACCAUGCCAAGCAAUGUAUUCCAGCGGCACUUUGUUGUCUGACCAUGCCAACGGAUGACUUGAACUUUCCAAAUAGAUGAAUUGUGUGUUCAUCGUCAAUGGCAUGCUUUGAGAUGCAGUUGUUGUGGUUAAUGUUGGUCCAGUAGAUCACCAUACAACCUUUUCCUAUGCUAGAGAGCUGGCUCUAAUGGACAAUAAGUCACACACUGCUCAUUUCUGUUAUCAUAUAUAUUGCAUGGAGAAAUGAUAAACUACAAUUGCCUGCCUUUAAGGAUGACUAUGAGCUAAGGAGAUAUUCAUUGAUACAUCUAUUAGCAUGUCAAGAGAAUGAGUGUAAAAGCAACAUACCUACUGCCGCACGAGAUAUCAUUAAUGGGAAACGUGCUUUGCUCAUGCAAGAUUACUAGUCAUCGGUAAAUAGAGUACCGGGGUGCAGCGAUUUUGGGCUUCCUCUACAGUAAACAAAACCAUGGUUAGUGCAUGUCAUCAGCAUAUGCUUAAGUGGUUGGAACAAGCAGGUGUGCUGCUGAUGGGGACAUGGAGUUAUAGUGAGAUUUGGAUGAAGUUUUGAGAGUAGAAUAUUCUUGGUGGUACACAGAGUCAACCAAUUCAAAAGAUUUGAUGAGUUACACACAUCGACAUCAAGGAAAUGCUGUGCAGUGCAGCGAGACGACUCAUUUGUACAAGCAGCAAAUGUCCCAUGUCCUGCGACAUCUUGGGUUCAGUAGAUUAUCUCACAGACUCACAGUGCAGGUACAGAUGACGUCGAUCACAGCAGAUGCCGCCAGGAAGAUGCAGCUGAGAAAGGCACACGCGAUGGAGGCAGCCGACAAGUCGCAGAAACGUGG